rnacentral:rRNA from 1 species
AAAGCAACAUCGCGAGGUGAAGCAAAUCCCAAAAAAGGCGUCCCAGUUCAGACUGUAGGCUGCAACUCGCCUACACGAAGUUGGAAUCGCUAGUAAUCGCGGAUCAGCACGCCGCGGUGAAUACGUUCCCGGGCCUUGUACACACCGCCCGUCACACCAUGAGAGUCUGUAACACCCAAAGCCGGUGGGAUAACCUUUAUAGGAGUCAGCCGUCUAAGGUAGGACAGAUGAUUAGGGUGAAGUCGUAACAAGGUAGC